CACCGGAAAUGGCUUUCACUAUAGUCGACUUCCCGUGAGCCACGUGACCAAUUGUACCUAAGGAAAACCGAGAAAUAAAUUAUUAGGAAGAACGAGAAGUGCAAGUAACCCUAAAUAUUUAACAAAAAACUGUGUAUUUACCAAUGUUGAUCGUUGCUUGCCUGCUGAUGACUUCAGGAGAGAGAGCCGUCAAUUUGGAAACGUCCUAGAAAAAAAAACGAACUUGCAAUUUCAAAGAAGAGACUGACAGGUGCAUCAAGAGAUGACUAAGUCAUGAAAAAAUAUCAAAAUUACUCUGCGAAUUAAUUUUUCUUAAAAUUCAGAGAGUUGUCCUUGGACUUUUUCCAUGAAUUGCAGGGGAUUUAAUAUACUUUCGGGCUCUAAAUAUGGAAUGUCCCGGAUCAUUUGCUGGAGUAAUUGUUGACUAAUUGCGAAGAUUCGACAAGAAAACAUCAAGACUCGUGGGAAUUAUUUCGGUUCACGUAUGAUUAUCUGAAAUAACUGAACACAACAGAGAAUGUUUUUUUUUCACCAAAAACUCUACACUCUCGACACGAAGAAGUGAAACCAAAGCACGGAAUGUUUUUCAUGUCGUGAUGAUCGUGAGUUACAUUCUCAUGUAACCGAAAUACUAAUGGAAAAUACUACAACUUCGAGGAGAUGGAGAUCUUGUCAAAUAAUAUAUACGUUUUAUUGAUGAAUAAAGAAGUAACAUUUACCUGCCACAACUGUAUCUCAUCGGUUUUGCCAACAGUCAAAUAAAUCCAAACAUCAGAUAUAUAGUAAAUAAAAGCAUAAAACAGUGGGCCAAAUCCAAGUAGGAGAAUGCCAAUCAUAUAUUUCUGAAGUGUUUUUAUUUGAUUUUUCUUUACUGCCGCUAGUCCUAGAAAUGAUACCAGCAAACUCGAACACCAGAUGUAUUCCCACAAUAGUGGCUAAAAUCGAUAAAGAGUUUAUUAAUAAACGUCCUGCAUUUUCAACGGUAACUUACAUCAGUGGAGAAUUAUUUAAGCAAUACAACUUAAUAAAUUGAUGUCCGCGCAAAUAGGAGGACACUCUAUUUCAGAGGAAAAUGAUAAAAGAUAUCUUCUUGAACAAUUUUCUCAGCCUUCUACCUUUUCCUUCUUGUCUCAUUCAUCUCCAAAAUUCAUGCAUAGCACCCAGUUCAUUAAUAUCUUCAUAUUCGAGAGGGCCAUAAAUUAUCCUUUCAUUUCUUUUAUUUUAAAAGAAAAACAUUAGUGGAGAGCGUCGAAAUACGUCUGUUAUCAUAUAUGUUUCAUCUCCAGUGGUUAAAAUGUAAUGCAAAGAAUGGGUGGAAGGAAAAGUUGAAAUUGACCUUGAAAAAUCGAUAAUUCUGGAGAUUAAUACAAAAUUGUAACGGUUUUUAAUGAAGUAUAAAAUUACUUCAGGUAUGACUGAUUUAAUGGGAGAAAGGCAACUGUUUGUGUUAAAAACAUCUCUAUGCAUAAACAAUCAUUCUUUACCCCAAACGAAUAUUCAAUCAAACAAAAGUUAUUCACCUGUGGAAU